AGCGUAGGUGGCUUGAUAAGUCAGAUGUGAAAUCCCCGGGCUUAACCUGGGAACUGCAUCUGAAACUGUUAGGCUAGAGUAGGUGAGAGGGAAGUAGAAUUUCAGGUGUAGCGGUGAAAUGCGUAGAGAUCUGAAGGAAUACCGAUGGCGAAGGCAGCUUCCUGGCAUCAUACUGACACUGAGGCUCGAAAGCGUGGGUAGCAAACA
rnacentral:rRNA from 1 species